GUCUGCUGCCAUCUGGAAGGUGCCAGAUGGGCCUCCUCACUGAGGUCCCAGUGUCACUCAGGCUAGGUUCCCAGAAGCCUUAAGACCAGGCGCUGGCCUUGGAAAGCAGCAGGGGUUGGCAGAGAUACAGCGAGACAGAGAAAAGCGAAGUAGCCUGGAGACGUGCAAUAGCAAGAAGCUACUGGAAGAACAGAAGAAGGACAUCUUGUUACCAGAGACCAGGCCUAGGGUCAUCUGCUAGAAGUUGGAGCCAGUGCCUGGCACACACAUAGAAAUGCUUAGAAAGUUGUCGAAAGAACGACUAACACGCGGCCGGAAGCAUCAAGCAUGGAGAUUUCAGGGGCGGAGAUUGAACCUUGCAGGGGUCCUUCGUA